AAACAGAGAGUACACAGCAGUCAGUCAUUCAUCCACCAUUUACUGACUAUGACGUGCUCGUGUUGAAUUGUAGCAGUAACAUCUUAAAAUAACGUUCUAAAGAAAAUGGACACAAUUCAUUGGAUAUCAAUCAACAAAGAGGUAUACAGAGGAGGAGACAUACAAAUGUAUGUCAAUUGGUAUUGGUAUGUUAUGCAGAUCACAUUUACCAUCCUCCUCCCUUACCUCUUCAAUAAAUAUCCCAUAGGCCUCUACAUUAUGGACAAGGAAACCUGUUUGAUCCCCAUGCAAUGCAAAAUCCUUCUGGCUAUGGAUACGGAGAACAUCAACACGCCAGAGGAUAUACCCAUAGGACUUGGGGCUCUGCUGGGAGUUUAGCUCUUAUUUAGAUUUUUUUAUUCUGC